UACAGACAUUAAAGAUUGGAAGUGAUCCGCUGGGUGGACCGGAACGUGUUGAAAUUAGAUACCAUCUCCAUUUCAUAUAUCAUAUACCAUCCUUCUCAGACUAUCUGGUGGAAAGAAAUCCUCUUGGUGAGGAUUUAAAAAAGAAAAACACGGUUAGUUGUGUGUAUAUGCGUGGGAAUGGAAUGUGUAGUUUUCAUUAUCCCCUUCUUCAUUGCUCCUGUCAAGGAAUUCAAAGUCCUUUAAUGCUGUUUGGUGUGAGGUCUGACCAAAGAGAUGGUGGAUAUAUCAGAUCCUACGGUGUAAUUCCGAGAGAGAUCUCUGGUGGUUUUUGGGGUUUAAGAGAGGAUGCAAAAGAGAAGAGAAAAUCAAAAGAAUCAACGGUCACUGUUACUUUUGGGAAAUGCAAGUCCAAGGAAACUGAUUUCUGCAUGAGUCCAACGUCGCUGGAGAAGAAUUCUACUUUUGAAGAAAAAAGAAGAGUGCCCACAGGCCCAAAUCCCUUGCACAACAGGUAGAAUAACAAAGCCAUGAAGAAGAAAUUUCCCCAAAAAAAAAAAUAAAAUACGAGAUUGAUAUUUACACCCCUUAUUUUGACACAUGCACCCAUUUUUUUCUCCAUUCCUUUGUUGGAUAAUUAUCUUGGAGAGAAAAAACCAAAAAGACAAGUAUGGUGUAUAUAAUAAAAAAAUGGGUGUUAAUAUCAGUUCCAAGAAGAAGAAGAAGACCCAUGUGCAGUUUUUUUAAAGUUUUUUUUCAAUAUUCUUCCAUGGUUUUGAAUCUAGACAGAUAUUAUAAAGAAAGAAAAUGAUAUUUUAUAUUUUUUUUUCUAUAGAUUUAUGUUGCAUGUAAAUGGAUUGAUGCUUUUGAGUCAUGCUUCUUCCUUUUUUUAUUGAGGAUUAUUAUUAUUGUAAUGAAAUGUAACUCUCAUACUUAUAGGAAGUGUUAUUUGGAAAGAAUUAUCAAAGAAGUAGGAUUCUAUUUUUU